rnacentral:rRNA from 1 species
UACGAAGGGGCUAGCGUUGCUCGGAAUGACUGGGCGUAAAGGGCGCGUAGGCGGAUGGCACAGUCAGGAUGUGAAAUUCCCGGGCUUAACCUGGGGGCUGCAUUUGAUACGUGUUGUCUUGAGUUCGGAAGAGGGUCGUGGGAAUUCCCAGUGUAGAGGUGAAAUUCGUAGAUAUUGGGAAGAACACGGUGGCGAAGGCGGCGACCUGGGUCCGACAC